AUUGAACGCUGGCGGCAGGCCUAACACAUGCAAGUCGAACGAAAGGCGGACGGAUGAGUAAUGACUGUGAACCUGCCUGAUGGAGAGGUAUAAGUACGGGAAACUAUAGCUAAUAACGCCUACCACCGGAGGUACCCGGAUGGGAUGAGCGAGUGGGUGGGGUAACGGCUCACAAAGACGAAGAUCCCUAGCUGGUCUGAGAGGAGGCACAGCCACACUGGGACGGAGACACGGCCCAGACUCCUACGUGAGGCAGCAGUGGGGAAUAUUGGACAAGGGGCGAAAGCCUGAUGCAGCCAUGCCGCGUGUACGAAGAAGGCCUUCGGGUUGUAAAGUACUUUGAGCGGGGAGGCGUUACCUGCAGAAGAAGCACCGGCUAACUCCGUGCCAGCAGCCGCGGUAAUAC
rnacentral:rRNA from 1 species